CAAAUGUCUCAUAAAGCUAGUGUAAGCACCAUUAUUUUCAGGAAAAAAGGGGGAAAAAAAAAAAAAAGGCUUUUAUUCUUACUAUGCCUGCUGGAAUUGCACAUCCUCUAAUUUAAAAUACAAAAUGAAAGAUGCACCAGGGACAUGCCACAGCCUACGCUAGGAAAUGAAAGAUGUGCAGACUGGUAAAGCCUUUCCCAGCGCUACUACAAAGGGUUGUUUUUUCUUUUUUAAUGAUGCAAACACAGACAUGCUGAAACAAGUGCUAUGGAUCCUGAGCUACUGGAGAAAGC